CACGGGGGGAGCAAGCGUUGUUCGGAAUCACUGGGCGUAAAGGGCGUGUAGGCGGUUCGGUAAGUGAGAUGUGAAAUGCCCCGGCUCACCCGGGGACCUGCAUCUCAAACUGCCGGACUAGAGUAUGGGAGAGGAUGAGGGAAUUCCUGGUGUAGCGGUGAAAUGCGUAGAUAUCAGGAGGAACACCGGUGGCGAAAGCGCUCAUCUGGCCCAAUACUGACGCUGAGGCGCGAAAGCUAGGGGAGCAAACGGG
rnacentral:rRNA from 1 species